CCCUCCGCGCCCCAGUUGGCCUGUCUUUCUAAAUAUUAGCACAAUAAAUAUAAAUGGCAUCAGAACGUGAGGGGGCAGGGGCCACGUGAUCCCUCCACGAAAGCCACAUG
ensembl:misc_RNA